AUUGAACGCUGGCGGCAUGCCUUACACAUGCAAGUCGAACGGCAGCAUGAUCUAGCUUGCUAGAUUGAUGGCGAGUGGCGAACGGGUGAGUAAUACAUCGGAACGUGCCCUGUAGUGGGGGAUAACUAGUCGAAAGAUUAGCUAAUACCGCAUACGACCUGAGGGUGAGAGUGGGGGACCGCAAGGCCUCAUGCUAUAGGAGCGGCCGAUGUCUGAUUAACUAGUUGGUGAGGUAAAGGCUCACCAAGGCGACGAUCAGUAGCUGGUCUGAGAGGACGAUCAGCCACACUGGGACUGAGACACGGCCCAGACUACUACGGGAGGCAGCAGUGGGGAAUUUUUGACAAUGGGGGCAACCCUGAUCCAGCAAUGCCGCGUGUGUGAAGAAGGCCUUCGGGUUGUAAAGCACUUUUGUCCGGAAAGAAAUCGCACUUACUAAUAUUAGGUGUGGAUGACGGUACCGGAAGAAUAAGGACCGGCUAACUACGUGCCAGCCGCCGCGGUAACAC
rnacentral:rRNA from 1 species